UACGAAGGGGGCUAGCGUUGUUCGGAAUUACUGGGCGUAAAGCGCACGUAGGCGGAUAUUUAAGUCAGGGGUGAAAUCCCAGAGCUCAACUCUGGAACUGCCUUUGAUACUGGGUAUCUUGAGUACUUAAGAGGAUCGCGGAAUUCCCGGUGUAGAGGUGAAACUCGUAGAUAUCGGGAGGAACACCAGUGGCGAAGGCGGCGUCUGGGAAGAUACUGACGCUGAGGUGCGAAAGCGUGGGGAGCAAACAGG
rnacentral:rRNA from 1 species